rnacentral:lncRNA from 1 species
CCGCAGCCCACCCCUGCACCAGUGGACACUGCGGGAUGGCCUGGCCUCGGCUCUGCAUUUUCACUUCUCUUAGCUCUCAUCUCCUCCACCACAGAGACAGCUCUGUCUGAGUAUCUUUCUGAUACUGUUCUUUAUCCCCCAGGACUGGCCCAGCCCAGGGCGGAAGAACUUAUUAGUUUGAAUUACAAACAACAGAAGUAGAAAACUCCACAAGGAAAAAUCUCAGCUGGUGAAGAAGCUCAGGAGCUCACAGAAGGUGAGCACUUGGGGUGUGAUGAAGUAAUCAAACCAUCGCCAUCGGCUAAGGAAACCGAGGGGUGCAGAGCUGAUGUCGCUUGGCCCGCAAGCCACGGAGAGUGGGAGCAAGAGGAGGUUUGGUCAGGCUGCCUCUGCCCCUGUCUUUCUCGGCCCACAGGCUCCAAGCAGGCAGGACCAGACCGCAGCUUCCAGGUGCUGGGAUCCGGGGACCACACCUUCACCUGCUGCUCUCUUGAAGGAAAAACAAAUAUCUGCCUCUGGCAGGUAAAAAAAAAAUAAAAGGAGUGCGUC